GAUUGGGUUACUUAGUGGCGGACGGGUGAGUAACGCGUGAGGAACCUGCCUCGGAGUGGGGAAUAACACAACGAAAGCUGUGCUAAUACCGCAUGAUACAGUUGGGUCGCAUGACUCUGACUGUCAAAGAUUUAUCGCUCUGAGAUGGCCUCGCGUCUGAUUAGCUAGUUGGUGGGGUAACGGCCCACCAAGGCGACGAUCAGUAGCCGGACUGAGAGGUUGACCGGCCACAUUGGGACUGAGAUACGGCCCAGACUCCUACGGGAGGCAGCAGUGGGGAAUAUUGCACAAUGGGCGCAAGCCUGAUGCAGCGACGCCGCGUGCGGGAUGACGGCCUUCGGGUUGUAAACCGCUUUUGACUGGGAGCAAGCCCUUCGGGGUGAGUGUACCUUUCGAAUAAGCACCGGCUAACUACGUGCCAGCAGCCGCGGUAAUACGUAGGGUGCAAGCGUUAUCCGGAAUUAUUGGGCGUAAAGGGCUCGUAGGCGGUUCGUCGCGUCCGGUGUGAAAGUCCAUCGCUUAACGGUGGAUCCGCGCCGGGUACGGGCGGGCUUGAGUGCGGUAGGGGAGACUGGAAUUCCCGGUGUAACGGUGGAAUGUGUAGAUAUCGGGAAGAACACCAAUGGCGAAGGCAGGUCUCUGGGCCGUUACUGACGCUGAGGAGCGAAAGCGUGGGGAGCGAACAGGAUUAGAUACCCUGGUAGUCCACGCCGUAAACGGUGGAUGCUGGAUGUGGGGCCCGUUCCACGGGUUCCGUGUCGGAGCUAACGCGUUAAGCAUCCCGCCUGGGGAGUACGGCCGCAAGGCUAAAACUCAAAGAAAUUGACGGGGGCCCGCACAAGCGGCGGAGCAUGCGGAUUAAUUCGAUGCAACGCGAAGAACCUUACCUGGGCUUGACAUGUUCCCGA
rnacentral:rRNA from 1 species